rnacentral:rRNA from 1 species
AUUGAACGCUGGCGGCAUGCCUUACACAUGCAAGUCGAACGGUAACAGGCCUUCGGGCGCUGACGAGUGGCGAACGGGUGAGUAAUGCAUCGGAACGUGCCCAGUCGUGGGGGAUAACUAUCCGAAAGGAUAGCUAAUACCGCAUACGAUCUGCGGAUGAAAGCGGGGGACCUUCGGGCCUCGCGCGAUUGGAGCGGCCGAUGUCAGAUUAGGUAGUUGGUGGGGUAAAGGCUCACCAAGCCAACGAUCUGUAGCUGGUCUGAGAGGACGACCAGCCACACUGGGACUGAGACACGGCCCAGACUCCUACGGGAGGCAGCAGUGGGGAAUUUUGGACAAUGGGCGCAAGCCUGAUCCAGCAAUGCCGCGUGCAGGAAGAAGGCCUUCGGGUUGUAAACUGCUUUUGUACGGAACGAAACGGCUCUGGUUAAUACCCGGGGCUAAUGACGGUACCGUAAGAAUAAGCACCGGCUAACUACGUGCCAGCAGCCGCAGUAACAC